UAGCCUUUUGGUUGAAAACAAGAAAAGAAGGUAUUAUCCGUUUUAUGAAGAUGGGAAAAAUGGAAGCGGGGAAUCUGCUUCGUUUCCUUCCGUUAAACCAACCGCCACAACGACUUGUUCAUUAUCCUCGUUUCCCUAAUGGUCACAAUUCCACUGUUACUCUUUAUGCUUCCCAGGGAGAAAGUGGGUAUAGAGGGCUGAAGCCACGGAGGGAAUGGAUAUCUGAUUGGGUAUCCAAUAAUGAUGAUUUGGUUCGGAGCAUGCCAAUUUAUGUGGGUGGAUUAUCUUUAUUGGUUGUUCUCUUCAAUCGUACUGUCUCUGGUAUCGCUCCCGUCGCUGAUGCUGGCAGUUCUCAAUCCAGAGCAGAUUUAUUGACACUUGGUUUGGCAGUCACCAACAUCUUAAAUGGUCUUGUUUGGCUUUCAAUCCGACCAAAAUCCAUAUCUGUGGUAAAUCCUAACGGUGUGGAGUGCCAAAGAACAGAUCCUGACCUACCAGAUUUUGUUAUUUCUGAGCUGCUAUGGGCAUGGAUUUCUCUAUCAGAUGUCACAUGCUGCAGGUCUCUUGUCAUUGUUUAUGAUGGAAAAUGUAUCCUUCAAACUGGGUUUGCUUCUGCAUCUUUAUCUAAUGGAAGUGAUGCAGUAGCUGUGGACACUAAUAAAUUGAUAAAAGGAUCACUUUACCAAGGUGUUCUAAAAUCUGCAUCACAGAGCUACUUGGCCAACUUAUCUCUUUAUCCUGGGAAGUCGGAGCUACCAUUUCUUCCUUCAAAUACACAGGCUGUAAUCUUGCAACCUCUAGGAGACAAAGGAAUUGCCAUAAUUGGGGGUGAUACAAUCAGAGGAUUCACAUCUUCUGACCAGGCAUGGAUCACAUUGAUUGGAGAGAAGUUAGAUUCUACACUGACAAAAGUUAUUUGACAUUCAUAGUGGCAGUGCAAGAUGGAUAUUUCAAGACAUUCAAACUGCAGUAUCUUAAGUUCAAGCAUUUGCCUAUAAUCAUGUCUACAUUCAAGAGACAGGUACUAGAGAUCAUCAACCAAUGCACCGUUGAAGAUCUUCUCACUUCCAGCUAGUUGGUGAGUCCUCUAGUUUCCGAAGGAUAUCGAGAUUAUCUUAAUAGCUUUGUUUUGUCCCUUUAUUUUGAUUGUUGGUAGCCAUGGACUUGUCAUUGUCACCUCCUGGAUUGUUGAUAGAGGCUUCAUAGAAUAGAGUGUGGAAGUGUUGAAUUGUUCGUUUUGACUAGUUUUAUUCUAGCUAGUUAUUGAUUGGGUAUUUGUUUGUCCUUUGGCCCUAAAUUAUGAAUAGUAUUCUUAUGAUUGAGUCUUCGGUUGAUAGAAUGUGAAUGAAUGAAAGUGUGGCUGGACCAGGUGGUUCGCUUGAAGGCUAGAAAUGGCUUUCGAGUGCCGGUCACGUCUAGGGUACCCUCUCGGGGCGUGACAAUCGAGACUUUCCAAGGUAAGUUUGUUCCUAAGAAACAUAUAGGUACACAGACUCCAGAAAUGAGUUCUCCAUCUCAGCCAAAAAUGGAUGAGACAGGUGUGCAUUCCCUUCUAAAUGCUAAGAAACCUACUGUAUCAGAUCAAGAUACAGCUAGUCCGGUUCAAACGGUAGCUAAUAAAGACAUAUCGAAUCCGUUAAUGGUUUUCACUUUGUCAAAAAGUGAAGAAGAGGGAUCUUCGUUCUCAUGAAGAAGAUUACCUAAAACUUUUCAAAAAGACAGUUCCAGAAAGACUAUGGCUCUGGAAAAAAAACAACCAAAUCGAAGUCAUAAUUAAGCAGACUUUGGAACAAUUUUUUAAAGAUCACGGACAAGAUAAGCAUGUUAUUAGUAAAGACGGUCCAAAUCCAGAUAAUGACAGAAUAAUUUCAAAUUCAGACGAAGAUGCCAACACCAGUCCGAUAAGAACACCAAGUCCAGAUGAAGACUAUGGGAGUAAUAAUUAUCAAGAUGUCCAAUACCCUUAUGAAGAUGAUGACUCAGGAAUAAACUUCGACUCCAUUGCCUUACAUAAUUUAGAUACAUAGUUCAUACUAAUACAGAGGCAAUAAAGACAAAAGGAUAAAUAUCUGUACUAAGAUGAGAUCAAGAUGCUGAAAGAUAAUAGUAUCUUACUUUGUUUAUUUAUAAUAAUUAUCAAAAUCAAA